CCAUAGCAUGCCCAAGGGACAGAGCCGAGCACAGGAGCUGAGGCUGAGGUAGGGGCUAACCUGAGAAGUUUCUGGUUUUCCAGUACGCAGUGCUCCCUCAUUGUAAUGGUUUCUGGGUGUUUUCUCCAGAACACUGGAGGGGAUGGCUGGGGAGCUGCUGUGUCUCGGAAUCCCUUCUUUUUCACAAGUCAGCCAUUUUGGCAGCAUGACUUCGGACAGAGCCCCUGCUAAAAGGAGACCAAUCAACGGAGCUGUGUAACUCUCACGCACAUUUGCUUUCUGAUACAGGAACAGAGGAUAACAACGUGCAACCUAAGUGGAUGUAGGGACACUGAGGCACAGAAAGUAGAUGCGUGAGGGAAGGGAGGUCUUGGAAGCUCUCUUGGCAAAGAGGAAACUGGGGCAUGGCAAGAGAAGGUAGUCUGGUACCAACUUGAGCCAGAUCUCACUUCCCACACUCUGCCCACCCAACUCUGCCCAAUGCCAGUUUGUACCCUGUACUGGAGAACGGUGGGCCUUGGGUGUUGCUUGAGGCUAAGAAGCUAGCUGGCAGCCUGGGAGAGACAUGGAAGAGAAACAAUGAGAAGCCAGGAAACUUUAGUCCUGAGGCCAGAGGGUCUGAGGGAGGUCAUGGAGGACGGUCAUUCCUCACCGAGCAAAAGGGAGGGCGGCAGGGGUGCAGAGUCCAGAUUCAGACCUGGGGCCCGAUCUGGAGCUGGAUACAUCCAGCCCCCUGACUCCCCUCUCAAUCCUGGCUCUCCCUCUUGGCUAGCCUGGCUCCCAGCUCUUCCCAAGCCGGCAGCCUCAGCAGGAGCCUGGAGAGCAGGGUGCUAUGCUGCUGUGUUGUUCGCAGGAGCCUUGGAGGGGGUUGGUGGGAGACUGCCAGGCGCCGCUUAAUAGGAUUUUAAUUAUACAGCUCCAGUAAGAAUUUUUUCCCCCCUGGGCUUGGGCCCUCACAGGCACCUCCAUUUCUACCUCAGCAUCUUCCCAGCCCAGGCGGCCCACUCUCCCAGGCCCCCCGCUGGCAGCCCUCACCCACGGAGGGGGGACUCUGGCCUAUCUCCUAGAGGCUCAGGGAGGGCCUGGCAUCUGCCCCCCAGCAAUCUUGGGCUCCUAGGGAGGGCCUAGCUCAGGGAACUUCUCCUGGGAGAUCUACAUCCGGGACUCCUGUGGCCAGAACAGGGUGUGACAGCCACUCAGCAACCUGAUGGCCUUGGUGCUCAUUUUUCCAGGGUGAUUCUGCCCCACGCCAGGCCCUCUUGCGAUGAUUGUCUCAUGUGACGCUUGCAACUCUGGGAGGCAAGCCGGGCAGAUGGAAGUGAUAGGCUCCAUUUUACGGAUGAGGAAACCGAGGCCACAAGAGUGAGUGGCUUGCUCAAGGACACAAUGAGUAAGGAGUCGGGACUGCCGACCCGACUCCUCCAAGCUCCAUGUCCUGCCCUUAGCCUGCACUGCCACUGUGCUCCACAUCCCCAGUCAGAAAGAACUGGGUCCAUGUGCAAACCAUAGUGUCCUGAACCUUUAAUCCUAGCACUUGGGAGGUGAAGGCAGGAGAAUCAGGAGUUGAUGGAGAUCAUUUUAAGCUAUUUAGUGAACCCGGUUUGGUCUAUAUAAGACCUUGUCUCAAGCCGGGGAGGGAGAAGGCAGAGAAGAGGGGAGGGGAGGAGAGAAGAGAGAAGGAAAAGAGAAAACAAUUCCCUCGUUGCUGUCCUGUUUGGAACACAAAAUGUCUUCUCCCUUUAGUCUGAGUCAGGUUCCUUUAUUUAUGCCGUCACAGCGCCUGAGCAUGACUACCGUCACUCAGUCACACAGUGUUGCAUAGACUGGUGAUCCGAAAAGCCUAUCAUUAGCCUAGCAUGUCCUUGACCCACCAGGACAGACCUCCUGGUGCCCAGUGGCCAGGCUGUACCUGUCCAGUGACCUGCUUGAAUGCCGUUGGUCUCUUGGCGUCCUCGCCAGGCAAUGUCAACAGUCUCUGGCACUAUUAUUUUGUUUUACAUAAAAGUUUCAGAGAAUUUUCAUAUGCCCACCACCGUCCCUCCUGUUUUUGCAUACUGUAUUGGCCUAUAUCAUUUGUCUCAGCUAAGAAACUUUGACACACUAUAAACUAGCUUUAAUAUUUCAUUUGAAUUGUACCAUUAUUACACUUUUAAAUGUCAUAAGAAAUACACCGAUAUAUCUUUUUU
rnacentral:lncRNA from 1 species